rnacentral:rRNA from 1 species
UGAUGAAGAAGCUUGCUUCUUCUGAUUUUAGCGGCGGACGGGUGAGUAACACGUGGGCAACCUACCUUGUAGAUUGGGAUAACUCCGGGAAACCGGGGCUAAUACCGAAUAAACCAUUUUGCUUCAUGGCAAGAUGUUGAAAGGCGGCUUCGGCUGUCACUACUAGAUGGGCCCGCGGCGUAUUAGCUAGUUGGUAGGGUAAUGGCCUACCAAGGCGACGAUACGUAGCCGACCUGAGAGGGUGAUCGGCCACACUGGGACUGAGACACGGCCCAGACUCCUACGGGAGGCAGCAGUAGGGAAUCUUCCACAAUGGACGAAAGUCUGAUGGAGCAACGCCGCGUGAGUGAAGAAGGUUUUCGGAUCGUAAAACUCUGUUGUAAGGGAAGAACACGUACGAGAGUAACUGCUCGUACCUUGACGGUACCUUAUUAGAAAGCCACGGCUAACUACGUGCCAGCAGCCGCGGUAAUACGUAGGUGGCAAGCGUUGUCCGGAAUUAUUGGGCGUAAAGCGCGCGCAGGCGGUUCUUUAAGUCUGAUGUGAAAGCCCACGGCUCAACCGUGGAGGGUCAUUGGAAACUGGAGAACUUGAGUACAGAAGAGGAAAGCGGAAUUCCACGUGUAGCGGUGAAAUGCGUAGAGAUGUGGAGGAACACCAGUGGCGAAGGCGGCUUUCUGGUCUGUAACUGACGCUGAGGCGCGAAAGCGU